CCUCGUCGUCUGGUUCGUGUCCGUCUU
rnacentral:sRNA from 1 species